UAUUCUAUCCUGACUUCUGGAAGGGGCCAGUGGAGACCAGACAACACGCUGUGCAAUCCAUCCUUUUCUUGUUGGAGAAUUCAGAGUAAAGAUGUCCUGUAAUUUCUGUGACCAGAGAAGACAUUCAGCCAUGCUGUCCCUCGGCCAAGAUGAACUAAGCCUGCGCCCCCAGAGAGCUGAGAUAUGAUCUCAUAAUUGCAUGGAAUUACACCUGAGAUAUCAGAUGUCCUGUGCUUACCUUCUACGUGCUCUGCUGGAGGGAAGCUAAGAUCCUUCAUUCUUUUCAGACAACUGGUUCUUCAAAGACGCUGACAAACCAGAUAGUCCAGAACUGCACACUCUGGAGCUAAUUC
rnacentral:lncRNA from 1 species